rnacentral:rRNA from 1 species
UGGGGAAUAUUGGACAAUGGGCGCAAGCCUGAUCCAGCCAUGCCGCGUGAGUGAUGAAGGCCCUAGGGUUGUAAAGCUCUUUCACCGGUGAAGAUAAUGACGGUAACCGGAGAAGAAGCCCCGGCUAACUUCGUGCCAGCAGCCGCGGUAAUACGAAGGGGGCUAGCGUUGUUCGGAUUUACUGGGCGUAAAGCGCACGUAGGCGGACUAUUAAGUCAGGGGUGAAAUCCCGGGGCUCAACCCCGGAACUGCCUUUGAUACUGGUAGUCUUGAGUUCGAGAGAGGUGAGUGGAAUUCCGAGUGUAGAGGUGAAAUUCGUAGAUAGUCGGAGGAACACCAGUGGCGAAGGCGGCUCACUGGCUCGAUACUGACGCUGAGGUGCGAAAGCGUGGGGAGCAAACAGG